UAUGUCCGCCGGGCUAAAAACACCCGUUGAUUAUCUAAAUUGAUUAACUACCGUUGGAUGUUAUAAUAUCAUACUUAUAAAUAAUGCACAAUGUCCAUUUUAGGUUUUCAAACCCAACUCCGCCGCACAUAGUUAAUCUUCUUCCCUCUAUCCCAUCUCAUCUCUCUCCCCCUCUCCCCUACACCAUCGCUCUCGUCUUCGUAUAUCCCCUCUCUCUCAAAUCGCCCCCUCCCCCUCCCCCCGACGCGAACAAAAUCACUGUUCUCUUCUGGCAAUUUUUUGAUUUUUCAAGUGGCACUAGUUUUCAAGUUAUAAGAGGAUAAUAUUUAUCAUGACUAUUCUCUCGAUUUCAAUUGUAAACAAUGAAGAAAAUGCUCCAAAGUCUCACUGCCACAUCACUCAAAGGGAGGAAGGCUGUGCAUAAAAAUUUGGAUCCCAAGCCUUGAUAGUCCCUUUGUGGAAGCUAUUUUAAUUAUUGGGCCCUAUGAUGUGGCUUUGAUAAAUUAUUUGCAAGUAAUGAACGUAAAGUUGAUUACUCGAGAACAAGUGGCCAGUCACUUGAAGUUUUUUGAGAAAUGUGGUUGGUGUAAUAUAUCAAAAAAAUAUGAUUUGUUUAAUAUGUUCUUAUGUAGAACAAAUCUUACAUUUUUAAAACUAGAUCAAUGUAUAUAGUAAUUUUACAUUUAACAUUUUGUAAUAGGGUUUGUCUAGUGUGUGCCCAUAGGCACGUGCUAAGCACCAAAUUCUAUAAGUUUGGUGGAUUUUGAUUGGUGUGGCUUGUGAAUCUGCAGGGAGUCCACCAUUAUAAAG